CCUUGCUCAUCAUGUCACGUUCUUUCAAAAUCGAACCCAGAAGCAGACCAGGACAAGGAGAGUAGGAAGAAGACAUACCUCCCCCUCCGCCCCGUGUCAUCGGAGGCCAGCCGGCUUAUACCGUCCAUUGGAUACUGGAUUCCCGCUGGGUGCAGCGGUCCUGGCAGUAUCUGGUGGACUGGGAAGGCUACGGUCCCGAGGAGCGCUUCUGGGUUCCUGCCAAAGACAUACUGGACCCUGACCUCAUUCGACAGUUCAGGGCCAUCCACCCCGAGAAAGCAGACGAACGCCGUUACAAGAAUUAACAGCUUCUGGCAGAUUGGCAAAUCUGAAGACCUGAUAUUGUGAUCUUUAAAAAAAAAAUUACUGAAUAUUUUCUUAACCUUAUUUUCUUAAAACCACAUUGUUGGUUACCGGAUUGUAAGUAAGAAUUUCACGGGACGGUCUACACCUGUUGUAUUCUGCGCAUGUGACAAAUACAAUUUAUUUGAUUUGAUAGUUGUUCCUCUGGCUUAGUGCUUGAGAUUUAGGGCAGCAAUUUUCUCUACAGGUUCCUGAAGGAAGACAGCCGACUACACGGAACUAUGAAAAAUACACAAACAAUCAUGUAAAAGUAGUGCCAAUAAUGUUGGAGGUAAAUGAAAUAAUCAAAAGAUGUGGUGUUUACGUUUUAUUCAAGUGUUGUCAUCGAGUCCUUAUAGAGACGCCACACUGCUGCUUUUGUCACAUGAGAUGGCAGCAGCUUUCCACAGGUGUUUGUGUCCGGGGUGGUGUCCUGGUAAUACUAUUGCAUUAUCCUCUGUAUAGUUGUUCAUGAAGUUCACAAUUCGCUGCAAGUCCUUAUGCUUUAGGUGUAACCUGUGAUUGCUUGCGCCUGCUCUCUUUUUAAUGGGAGGCAUUAGACCAUUCUCCUUGUAUGACUGGUGGAGGAGUCAGACGUUUUCUACUAAUGCUGAAAGACUAAUUCCAGAUACAAAUAUAUUAUCAUUAUUAUUAUUCAAUAGAUCACCGCCAGACACAACUGGCUAACUUGAUGGGUCAUGUAAUCAUCUUGCGAAGUGGAGUCUUUUAUUUAGACAUGUUAGCUAAACAAUUAACUAUAAUACCAACCCAUAGAGUACUAGCAAAACAAAUUGAUUGGCAUAGCUAGCUAGCUAAAGCUAACCAACUAGGUUCAAUGUUAGUUAGCUAACUAACAUUAGGCUAAAACUAGCAAUGCAAAUUCAUUUCUGAGAUACAAAUAAUAUUACCAUACAGAUCAUACAUUAACAGGUGAGCAAGCUAUCUAACAGUCACUUUAACUUGCAAUGAAAACAACUUUCUGACAAAAUUUGUAACGUAUAAUAUUUGAAAAUGUACCCUUACCCAAAUGCUUUACGGCAGACUGCAACCCCUUUCAUUAAAUAUGACGUCCUGUGUCGUGUCCGUUUUGUUUGUACAGUUUGCUUGGCUUGUUGUGUCAAGUCACUCUGAUUCAAACUGACUGUGUGCAAUGCUAUAAGAAUCAUCAUAUCUUUCUCCCUCUCUGUCACGGAUGCCAUGGUUGGCCUUAAUUUGAAGAUGUAAUCCGGAG
ensembl:lncRNA